CCUACGGGACGCAGCAGUCGGGAAUAUUGCGCAAUGGAGGAAACUCUGACGCAGUGACGCCGCGUAUAGGAAGAAGGUUUUCGGAUUGUAAACCUCUGUCUUUGGGGAAGAAAAUGACGGUACCCAAAGAGGAAGCUCCGGCUAACUACGUGCCAGCAGCCGCGGUAAUACGUAGGGAGCGAGCGUUGUCCGGAAUUACUGGGUGUAAAGGGAGCGUAGGCGGGCGAGAAAGUUGAAUGUUAAAUCUACCGGCUUAACUGGUAGCUGCGUUCAAAACUUCUUGUCUUGAGUGAAGUAGAGGCAGG
rnacentral:rRNA from 1 species